rnacentral:rRNA from 1 species
GACGAACGCUGGCGGCAGGCCUAACACAUGCAAGUCGAACGAGUGGCGGACGGGUGAGUAAUGUCUGGGAAACUGCCCGAUGGAGGGGGAUAACUACUGGAAAAGGUAGCUAAUACCGCAUACCAUCGGAUGUGCCCAGAUGGGAUUAGCUAGUAGGUGGGGUAACAGCGCACCUAGGCGACGAUCCCUAGCUGGUCUGAGAGGAUGACCAGCCACACUGGACCUGAGACACGGUCAAAACUCCUACGGGAGGCAGAGUGGGGGAAUAUUGCACAAUGGGCGAAAGCCUGAGGCAGCCAUGCCGCGUGUAUGAAGAAGGCUUUCGGGUUGUAAAGUACUUUCAGCGAGGAGGCGUUACUCGCAGAAGAAGCACCGGCUAACUCCGUGCCAGCAGCCGCGGUAAUAC